AACGCUGGCGGCGUGCCUAACACAUGCAAGUCGAACGAGAAAGUGGAGCUAUCCAUGAGUAAAGUGGCGACCGGGUGAGUAACACGUGACUAACCUACCUUCGAGUGGGGGAUAACCUCGGGAAACCGAGGCUAAUACCGCAUAACAUCUCAAGAUCAAAGCAGCAAUGCGCUGGAAGAGGGGGUCGCGGCUGAUUAGCUAGUUGGCGGGGUAACGGCCCACCAAGGCGAAGAUCGGUAGCCGGCCUGAUAGGGCGCACGGCCACACUGGAACUGAAACACGGUCCAGACUCCUACGGGUGGCAGCAGUGGGGAAUUUUGCGCAAUGGGGGAAACCCUGACGCAGCAACUCCGCGUGGAGGAUGAAGCCCCUUGGGGCGUAAACUCCUUUCGACCAAGAUGAUGAUGACGGUACUGGUGGAAGAAGCACCGGCUAACUCUGUGCCAGCAUCCGCGGUAAUU
rnacentral:rRNA from 1 species